rnacentral:rRNA from 1 species
AGUAGUUUGAUCAUGGCUCAGGAUGAACGCUGGCGGCAUGCCUAACACAUGCAAGUCGAACGGUACCUUUAUUUUUGAGUAGUUCCUUUAUAGAAAUUCUACAAAAUACUGGUUAGUGGCGGACGGGUGAGUAACACGUUGGUACCUACCCUCUAGUGGGGAAUAACUUCGAGAAAUCGAGGCUAAUACCGCAUGUGGUCUACGGAUCAAAGCAGUAAUGCGUUAGAGGAGGGGCCUGCGUCUGAUUAGCUUGUUGGUGAGGUAAAAGCUCACCAAGGCGACGAUCAGUAGCUGGAUCGAGAGGUUGACCAGCCACACUGGGACUGAGAUACGGCCCAGACUCCUACGGGAGGCAGCAGUGAGGAAUCUUCCACAAUGGACGAAAGUCUGAUGGAGCAAUGCCGCGUGCAGGAUGACGGCCUUCGGGUUGUAAACUGCUUUUAUAUGGGAAGAUUAUGACGGUACCAUAUGAAUAAGGACCGGCUAACUGCGUG